rnacentral:piRNA from 1 species
UAGGCAGACAGUCUAUGAAGUCCAUGAGGC